rnacentral:ncRNA from 1 species
ACAGGUUAAUUAAAACAAAGCAUCGCGAAGGCCCAAGGUGGGUGUUGACGCGAUGUGAUUUCUGCCCAGUGCUCUGAAUGUCAAAGUGAAUAAAUUCAAUGAAGCGCGGGUAAACGGCGGGAGUACUAUGACUCUCUUAAGGAGGUGUGAACCCCGGACUCUAGGGGUCCCUACGUCUCUGUAUGAG